rnacentral:misc_RNA from 1 species
GAUGAAGAACGUAGCGAAAUGCGAUACGUAAUGUGAAUUGCAGAAUUCAGUGAAUCAUCGAAUCUUUGAACGCACAUUGCGCCCCUUGGUAUUCCAUGGGGCAUGCCUGUUCGAGCGUCAUUUGUACCUUCAAGCCUUGCUUGGUGUUGGGUGUUUGUCUCGCCUCUGCGCGCAGACUCGCCUCAAAACAAUUGGCAGCCGGCGUAUUGAUUUCGGAGCGCAGUACAUCUCGCGCUUUGCACUCAGAACGACGACGUCCAAAAGUACAUUUUUACACUCUUGACCUCGGAUCAGGUAGGGAUACCCGCUGAACUUAAGCAUAUCAAUAAGCGGAGGA